rnacentral:rRNA from 1 species
CAGUAGCCACGGGAAUACGUAGGGCGCAAGCGUUGUCCGGAAUUAUUGGGCGUAAAGAGCUCGUAGGCGGUCUGUCGCGUCUGGUGUGAAAUCCCGAGGCUCAACCUCGGGCUUGCAUCGGGUACGGGCAGACUAGAGUGCGGUAGGGGAGACUGGAAUUCCUGGUGUAGCGGUGGAAUGCGCAGAUAUCAGGAGGAACACCGAUGGCGAAGGCAGGUCUCUGGGCCGCAACUGACGCUGAGGAGCGAAAGCAUGGGGAGCGAACAGGAUUAGAUACCCCUGUAGUCCCUGUCUCUUAUAC